CAGCUGUACUCGGAGCUGCUGCUGCAGGCGGGCCCCGCGCUGCGGGCGCUCCCCGAGUUCCAGGAGGUUUUUUGCUGUACUCGGAGCUGCUGCUGCAGGGCGGCCCCGCGCUCCAGGCUCUCCCCGAGUUCCAGGAGCUGCGCGAGCUGGGCCGGCGCCUCUCGCUCUUCUUCAGCCUCCAGCGGCCGCGCGGCCGCAGCGCGCUGCUGCUGCUGCACAGCGAGGGGAUCCAGUUCUCGCUGCAGGCGCUGCCGGAGCCGCCGGGGGGAAUCCCGGGAAUUCCGGGAAUUCCGGGGGGGCUCCCCCUGCACCUGCCCUUCCUGGAGGUGCUCAGCGAGUUCUCGCCGCGCCUGCUGCGCCCCGACCGCGC